CAGCAGCCGCGGUAAUACGUAGGGUGCGAGCGUUAAUCGGAAUUACUGGGCGUAAAGCGUGCGCAGGCGGUUGUGUAAGACAGGUGUGAAGUCCCCGGGCUUAACCUGGGAACUGCGCUUGUGACUGCACAGCUAGAGUAUGGCAGAGGGGGGUGGAACUCCACGUGUAGCAGUGAAAUGCGUAGAGAUGUGGAGGAACACCGAUGGCGAAGGCAGCCCCCUGGGCCAAUACUGACGCUCAUGCACGAAAGCGUGGGGAGCAAACAGGAUUAGAUACCCGUGUAGUCCCUGUCUCUUAUAC
rnacentral:rRNA from 1 species